rnacentral:rRNA from 1 species
CCCCUAGAUGUUCUGGGCCGCACGCGCGCUACACUGAACAGUUCAACAAGUCUUAACCUUGGCCGAUAGGUCUGGGUAAUCUUUGAACGCUGUUCGUGAUUGGGAUAGACCUUUGCAAUUAUGGGUCUUCAACGAGGAAUUCCUAGUAAACGCAAGUCAUCAGCUUGCAUUGAUUACGUCCCUGCCCUUUGUACACACCGCCCGUCGCGCCUACCGAUUGAAUGGUCCGGUGAAAUCUCCGGACUGGCGUGAGUCGGAGCAAUCUGACAAACGCCGGAAAGUUGAUUAAACCUUACCAUUUAGAGGAAGGUGAAGUCGUAACA